UCCCAAACCCAAUGUGAACGUUACCAAACUGUUGCCUCGGCGGGAUCUCUGCCCCGGGUGCGUCGCAGCCCCGGACCAAGGCGCCCGCCGGAGGACCAACCAAAACUCUUAUUGUAUACCCCCUCGCGGGUUUUUUUAUAAUCUGAGCCUUCUCGGCGCCCCUCGUGGGCGUUUCGAAAAUGAAUCAAAACUUUCAACAACGGAUCUCUUGGUUCUGGCAUCGAUGAAGAACGCAGCGAAAUGCGAUAAGUAAUGUGAAUUGCAGAAUUCAGUGAAUCAUCGAAUCUUUGAACGCACAUUGCGCCCGCCAGUAUUCUGGCGGGCAUGCCUGUCCGAGCGUCAUUUCAACCCUCGAACCCCUCCGGGGGGUCGGCGUUGGGGAUCGGCCCUCCCUCUGCGGGGGCCGUCUCCGAAAUACAGUGGCGGUCUCGCCGCAGCCUCUCCUGCGCAGUAGUUUGCACACUCGCACCGGGAGCGCGGCGCGUCCACAGCCGUUAAACACCCCAACUUUCUGAAAUGUUGACCUCGGAUCAGGUAGGAAUACCCGCUGAACUUAAGCAUAUCAAUAAGCGGAGG
rnacentral:rRNA from 1 species